GUCUAUGGCCAUGCCAUCCUGACCAAGCCCCAUCCCGUCUGAUCUCGGAAGCUAAGCAGGGUUGGGCCUGGUUAGUAUUUGGAUGGGAGACCACGUAGGAAGACCAGGUGCCGUAGGCA
rnacentral:rRNA from 1 species